GAUGAACGCUGGCGGCGUGCCUAAUACAUGCAAGUCGAGCGAACAGACGAGGAGCUUGCUCCUCUGACGUUAGCGGCGGACGGGUGAGUAACACGUGGAUAACCUACCUAUAAGACUGGGAUAACUUCGGGAAACCGGAGCUAAUACCGGAUAAUAUAUUGAACCGCAUGGUUCAAUAGUGAAAGACGGUUUUGCUGUCACUUAUAGAUGGAUCCGCGCCGCAUUAGCUAGUUGGUAAGGUAACGGCUUACCAAGGCGACGAUGCGUAGCCGACCUGAGAGGGUGGUCGGCCACACUGGAACUGCGACACGGUCCAGACACCUACGGGAGGCAGCAGUAGGGAAUCUUCCGCAAUGGGCGAAAGCCUGACGGAGCAACGCCGCGUGAGUGAUGAAGGUCUUCGGAUCGUAAAACUCUGUUAUUAGGGAAGAACAAAUGUGUAAGUAACUAUGCACGUCUUGACGGUACCUAAUCAGAAAGCCACGGCUAACUACGUG
rnacentral:rRNA from 1 species